UAGGGAAUCUUCCGCAAUGGGCGAAAGCCUGACGGAGCAACGCCGCGUGAGUGAUGAAGGUCUUCGGAUCGUAAAACUCUGUUAUUAGGGAAGAACAAAUGUGUAAGUAACUAUGCACGUCUUGACGGUACCUAAUCAGAAAGCCACGGCUAACUACGUGCCAGCAGCCGCGGUAAUACGUAGGUGGCAAGCGUUAUCCGGAAUUAUUGGGCGUAAAGCGCGCGUAGGCGGUUUUUUAAGUCUGAUGUGAAAGCCCACGGCUCAACCGUGGAGGGUCAUUGGAAACUGGAAAACUUGAGUGCAGAAGAGGAAAGUGGAAUUCCAUGUGUAGCAGUGAAAUGCGCAGAGAUAUGGAGGAACACCAGUGGCGAAGGCGACUUUCUGGUCUGUAACUGACGCUGAUGUGCGAAGGCGUGGGGAUCAAACAGG
rnacentral:rRNA from 1 species